GAAAAAGAAAGAAAGAAAGAAACAGACAGUCACUUUCGCUUUUUCGGGACUUUUCGCACAAGUUGCUCGCAGGAGCUGACGUUGUUUUCUCAUUUGGACUUUUGUAGAAAAAGCUCUGUGUGUGGGUGCAGCUCGGCGGGAUUUAAAGAGCAGACUGGAGCGAGCAGCAACGGCCGAGCCAAGAGUAGAUGUGCGAUUAUGUCUUGAAGGGAGGGGCCUGAACUGGUAUUCAGUUCGGUUUUUCAUCACUGGAGUGUAAGUGGAGGACCCGACUGCAGCCUGGCUCCCCUCUCCUCUUCCUCACACUCGACUCGACAGCUCGACUUUGUCGCCGGUAAGAUCCACAGGGCACAAUCAUGGAGGAAAUGGACUUUGAGCGGCGCCGGGAACUGAGGAGGCAGAAGCGGGAGGAGAUGCGCCUGGAGGCCGAAAGGUUGGCGAGGAAUGAUGAUGAUGAGGAGGAGGCGGCCCGCGAGAGGAGGCGCAGGGCACGCCAGGAGAGGCUGAUGAGCAGGGAGAGCGAGGAGCCCAGCGGACAGCCAGACAGUCUGGUCCUGACCAACAGCCACAGCGUGACAGAGACUGUGAGCAGGUCUUACGAAGGGGGCGGUGGAGACGACGAUGACCAAGCCCUGCAGGAGCGCAUGGCCAAACGCGAGGAGAGACGGCAGAGGCGCUUGAAGGAGGCGCUGGAGAGACAGAGGCAGCUGGACCCCACCGCGGCCGAGGACAACGACAGCGCCGCCGCCACGGAGAAGAACAACGCAGAAGAGGAGAGGCCGUCCUCCUGGCGUCGGGGUCGUUACCGCGAGGAUGAGGAGGAGAAGACAGAGGUGUACAGCUCGAGGAGAGAGGAGAAGGAGCCGGAGGAGCCGAGGGAGGAAGAAGAGGCUGCUCCCGAAGGCGGAGAGGAGGCAGAGGAGGGUGUAGAGGAAGAGGAGGAGCAGAAAGUGGAGGUGGUGGAGGACAAACCAAGAAGGUCUUACUUGAGAGAACAGGAAUCCACCGAAGAACCUAAAAUUCAAAACGAGGAGCCCCCUGAAGAACAGACACGUUCAGUAGUCAGUGAGAAUUCAGAGCAAGUCAACAAGUCAUCAGACACAGAGGCUGGGGAGGAUGUAGUAGCGUCAGAGGAGGCUGAAGAGGUACCCGAGGAUGAUCAUGUAGAUUCCGAGUCUAUGACACUCAGAAAUGACACUGAAGAGGACAAUGAGGUAGCUGAGAUACUGCACUCAGAGGAUAAUGAGGUGAACGAGAGAGGCAGGGCCAGGGAGGAGAGGGAGGAGCAGGGGAAGCAGAACGGAGGGCUGUACGAGGAGGAGCCGGCUCCCAAACAGCACAGGAAACCUGAGAGGACCCUCAGCCGCGGCAGCGUACGUUCCCCUGAGGUGUCUGCGGGUGAAGACCAGGACGACGCGGCCCGCCUCGAGGCAGAGCGCAAGCUGGAGGAGCUGAAGCGCCGCCGCGACGACGCAGAGAGCGAGGAGUUCGAGCGGAUGAGGCAGAGGCAGCAGGAGGCCGAGGCCGAGCUGGAGGAGCUGAAGAGGAAGAGGGAGGAGAGGAGGAAGGUGCUGGAGGAGGAGGAGAGGCAGAAGAAAGAGGAGGAGGCGGAGAGAAAAGCCAGAGAGGAGGAGGAGAAGAGGAAGAUGAAGGAGGAGAUUGAACGGAGGAGAGCAGAGGCAGCUGAGAAGAGACAGAAGGUGGAAGACACCGUGGACGGGGAGGAGAGGCCCUUCAAGUGUGUCAGCCCUCGAGGCUCCUCCCUAAAGAUCGGAGAGAGGGCAGAGUUCCUGAACAAGUCUGCACAGAAAAGCUCAGUGAAGGCGGCUCACUCUCCUGUGGUGUCCAAGAUAGACAACAGGCUGGAGCAGUACACCUCGGCUGCUCAGCAGAGAGAGAACAAGGAGUCUCGAUCCCCUCGCUCCGGAGCGGCCGAUCUGCCCCUGGUCACCGACAACAUACGAAGCAUCAAGAGCAUGUGGGAGAAAGGCAACGUGUUCAGCUCUCCUGGAAGUGGAGGAAGCACAUUCAAGGAAGCAGCUGUGAUGAAGACAGGCGUGGCGGGCCGCAUCAACGACUGGCUGAAUAAAACCCCAGAGAGCGGCAAAACGUCAGGAGGAAGGCCAGCGGACCUGAAGCCUGUCGACGUCACCAACAAGAGGAGUCUAUGGGAAAACAAAGGCGCCUCUCCAACCAAGAACUCUCAUAGCUAGUUGACCUCACCGUUAAAUCUGGAAUAAGCCUGGAGAGAUGGCAGGCAGAGGAGAGACCAAAUCAGUUGCCAACGGUAUGGGCCACUAAUGUCUUGAAGGAGCCACUAAAGCUGGGGACCACGACAAUCCAAGACUCUUCCUAUGACUUUGUCUUACGAACCAAAUAAUGAUCACAUCCUAAGAGGGACCCCACGAAAAAAAUCGGAGGGACAGGAGAGACGCUGUCCAAGCACUGUACCGAAAACAGCAUCAUAUUUUUGUACGGUUGCGACGUAUAGUGCCUUUGCACAAUGAUUUUUUUUUUUUUUUUUUGCUUUCUAAAAGAAGCAAAAUGCUGUGAAAUUUGGACAUUUGUGAUUACUAUUACUAAUUACUUAAUACAAUCCUGCCAGGAAGAAAAAAAAAGAACAAAACAAAUUAAAUUUAGAUUUAUCUGUUUGUGCUCCAAGCCGAUAGAGCGGUUGAGAUAAAAGUUUCCACAUUCCAAAGAGAUGAGUGAAAUCAGUUCUCCCCCUCAUACAGUACAUUUUCCAUCUCUUCUUCUUUUUUUAAUUUAUAUUUAAAGCAAAAGCUUCACACAUUGCUAUUUUAUUCAACGUUCACCAGUUCAGGAUAGAAAUAUAAGCACUUCUAGAAUUUAGCUGAGUUCACUUUUAUUAUGUCUUACCAAUAGUGCAGCAAUGGUCUGAGUAAUAUAUGUUAGCACAUGUGAUGUUUUUGAAUAUGACCUAUCAUACUGUAUCUUAUAUAACAUCUUUAUACUCGUAACAAAAGGUAUUUUUUGCUUUUUUUUGUAUCCAGAGACUAUUCACCAACAGGCAGUUAUUUUGGGUGGUGAUAGGAGUGUUCAAUAUUCAGAAGGCCAUUAUGACUUUUAUUAUCCUUUAUGUCAUUUUAUUUAUGUUUUGAUGUGUCUCGUCUUUUUUUCUACUCCUAGCUGUUUUUGUAGCUUUUUUUGUACCUGUUGGUUCACUUUAAAAUCUCGAGACAUUCCUCUUAAAAAGCAGGCUUGCAAGGUGCCUUCACUGCUUAGUAGCUGUAGGUUUUAUAAUGUAGGAAAAAACGGCAAACCAACUCUUUCUUAAAGGGCAAGUCCACCAUUUCACAUAUUUGGAAAGUGUGUUUACACGUCUUGAGGAGCACUGCUGCAUAUGUGGGGGGGGAAAAAAGCAGUAUAAAGCUUUUUUGUGGCUCCAGAGGAAGCUGUAUGUAAUCUUCUGUAAAUGACUUCCAGUGAUGUCGCUUAGUGGCUACGUUGCAUUGUGGGUAAUGUAGGCAUUGGGAUACAAAAGGUGAUAUCUCUGGUUCUGCUGUAUCGAUUUUGAUCAUUCAAAUUAUCAUUUAAACGAUGAGUCCAACAGUGUCAUAGAAGGGCAGUGCUACACCACUGCUCCUACAUUGCCCACAAUGCAACUCAGCAAGUGAUACUCAGCGACAUCAAUUGAGGCAAUUCACCAGAUUACAUUCAGCUUCCCCUGGAGGCUUUAUACUUCUUUUUCCACAUAUGCAGAAUUCCCCAAGACCUGUGAACACUCUCUAAUGUUUAAAAUUGGUGGAGUUACCCUUUAGUCUGCCUUCUUUAGUGCCUCUAUGCACGCUCUUCUGCUCAGCGAUGACUUUCUUAUAGAGGGCACGCAAAGUAAAGCCAAGGUGCCUAAGCAUAUAGCAAGAUACUAUUACAGUACAAGGAUAUUUACCACUAUGUAAUUUCUUCUGGCCUUAUGAUUGCAAUUAAAGCAUUUAUGACAGCUGAGGUACAGUACGCGAUAGCCUCAAAGCAACUCAGUAUCAUUAUUAAGACUUGUUUCUCUUUCACUGAUGUCGUCUAAAGUAGCACAUUCCCUCUCAUCGUUCUUGCGCGUUGCAAGCUUUUGAUAAUAUGAACGGUUUGCCGGGGCAUUAGAUUGAUCAAUGUUACUGCUCAAAAGUCUGACAAUCACAUUCCAUGGCUCCUGAAAAGAGCAGGGGAGCUCGACCAAAAUACUUUGAAGUGUGAUUUAAUGUGACUUUUCUGUUUUUGUUUUGUUUUGUUUCAUACAGUGGUUUCAUAAUGACGUAUUGUUUUUUGGUUGUUUUUUUUUUUUUACAACUUCAUUUCCAUGUUUAACCAGACACUUGUUGUUUGUGUAGCGCUACGCCUAUGCAAAAACACACUAUCUGUAGUCUCUCUAAACACUCCCAAUGUCAUGCAAGUGGGCAGUUUCCAACUGGAUGAAUGUUUUAAACAUUGUACCCUUGACUCAAACGACAGCAAUAAAGACAUUGAGGUAUUCAACAUU